rnacentral:tRNA from 1 species
ACCAGUAUAGUGAAGCGGACUAACGCAUCUCCGUAUCAAGGAGACGUUCGUGGGUUCGAAUCCCACCUGGUU